UACGUAGGUGGCAAGCGUUGUCCGGAUUUACUGGGUGUAAAGGGCGUGCAGCCGGGCCGACAAGUCAGAUGUGAAAUCCGCGGGCUUAACCCGCGAACUGCAUUUGAAACUAUUGGUCUUGAGUACCGGAGAGGUCAUCGGAAUUCCUUGUGUAGCGGUGAAAUGCGUAGAUAUAAGGAAGAACACCAGUGGCGAAGGCGGAUGACUGGACGGCAACUGACGGUGGGGCGCGAAAGCGUGGGGAGCAAACAGG
rnacentral:rRNA from 1 species